GGCGACGUGCGUAUACAUGACAUGUCGAACGGAGAUUAGAAGGAAGCUUGCGAAUUCUAAACUUAGUGGCGCACGGGUGAGUAACGCGUGGAUAACCUGCCUGGUAGACCGGGAUAACAGCUGGAAACGGCUGCUAAUACCGGAUACGCUUAAGGGAACGCAUGUUCUUUUAAGGAAAGCAAUCGUGCUAUCAGAUGGAUCCGCGUCCCAUUAGCUAGUUGGUGGUGUAAGGGACCACCAAGGCGACGAUGGGUAGCCGGCCUGAGAGGGCGACCGGCCACACUGGGACUGAGACACGGCCCAGACUCCUACGGGAGGCAGCAGUGGGGAAUCUUCCGCAAUGGGCGAAAGCCUGACGGAGCAACGCCGCGUGAGGGAAGAAGGCCUUCGGGUUGUAAACCUCUGUCAUCAAGGAAGAACAGAUGACGGUACUUGGAGAGGAAGCCCCGGCUAACUACGUGCCAGCAGCCGCGGUAAAACGUAAGGGGCGAGCGUUGUCCGGAAUUACUGGGCGUAAAGGGCGCGUAGGUGGUCCAUUAGGUUAGAGGUGGAAGAUCGGGGCUCAACCCCGAGAUUGCCUCUGAUACUGGUGGACUUGAGUGCAUGAGAGGGGAGCGGAAUUCCCAGUGUAGCGGUGAAAUGCGUAGAUAUUGGGAGGAACACCAGUGGCGAAUGCGGCUCUCUGGACUGUAACUGACACUGAGGCGCGAAAGCGUGGGGAGCGAACAGGAUUAGAUACCCUGGUAGUCCACGCCGUAGACGAUGAGUGCUAGGUGUUGCAGGUAUCUACCCCCGCAGUGCCGUAUUUAACACAAUAAGCACUCCGACUGGGGAGUACGGUCGCAAUACUGAAACUCAUAUGAAUUGACUGGGGCCCGCACAAGCGAUGUACUAUGUGGUUUAAUUCAACGCAGCGCGCAGAUACUUACCGCGGCUUGACGUCUUAUGAAAGCUUUACAGAUAUGGACCUUACGGAUCGCGGUAACAGACAUACUGCUCGUGCAUGCUUGACAUCAGCUCCCGUCUAGAUAUGUCGGGUCAGUCCGCAACAAUUGCACCCGUAUCCUAGUUGCUACGACUAGGUCCGGACUCUAAAUGACGUCACUAACAAAAGGAUUAUGUCGCGAUGACGUUAAUCUUCUUGCUUUAUGUCUUGGGUACAUCUACAAGAUG
rnacentral:rRNA from 1 species